UGAACGUGUAAGAAAGCUAGCCAAG
rnacentral:misc_RNA from 1 species